rnacentral:rRNA from 1 species
UACGGAGGGGGCUAGCGUUGUUCGGAAUUACUGGGCGUAAAGCGCACGUAGGCGGCUUUGUAAGUUAGAGGUGAAAGCCCGGGGCUCAACUCCGGAAUUGCCUUUAAGACUGCAUCGCUAGAAUUGUGGAGAGGUAAGUGGAAUUCCGAGUGUAGAGGUGAAAUUCGUAGAUAUUCGGAAGAACACCAGUGGCGAAGGCGACUUACUGGACACAUAUUGACGCUGAGGUGCGAAAGCGUGGGGAGCAAAGCAGG